GUCAUCGCAUCAGUCUGACAAACGCAGAAGUUGCACGUAACGACUCAUUGUUGCGGGAUAAAGUAACGCGUCAAGCACGCACGCGUUCCUCCGUUUUUCGCUCGGCGCGUCUAGAAAAAAAAAAAAAAAAACUUGGAAAAUUCUCCCGUUUUUUUUUUUCUUUUUCUUUCUUUUUUGGGAGUCGCUUCAUGUCUGCGGGCCAAGAGCGAACGUGUCGAGGGAAGCAUCGUCCUUCAGGAGCCAAAGAGAGGCUCUGAGGAACUUUAGCUCAGGUUGGUGCAGCUUUUCGGUGUUUUAUUUCGUUUCAAACGUUGAGUUUGGCGUGUUUGGUGGAACGCUCGCCUCUGACGUCACGCGUGUGGCCCCGCCCCCACCAUCCAACGUUCCAUAAUUACAUGUUCUGAACUUCGAGCUGCAUCCCAACCGGUUACUUACUGGUAACCAUGGCGACCCGAGGCCACGCCUCCAGCUCGUUAAUGAGCAACCACACCAAAGAGCGAGUGACCAUGGCCAAGGUCACGCUGGAGAACUUCUACAGCAACCUCAUAACGCAACACGAUGAGAGGGAAAUGAGGCAGCAAAAACUGGAGAAGGUGAUGGAUGAGGAAGGACUGCCUGAUGAAGAGAAGCGCAUGCGUCGCUCCCAACAUGCUCGUAAGGAGACCGAGUUCCUGCGGCUGAAGAGAACCAGACUGGGUCUGGACGACUUCGAGUCGCUGAAGGUGAUUGGACGAGGAGCAUUUGGGGAGGUGCGUCUGGUCCAGAAGAAAGACACGGGACAUGUUUACGCCAUGAAGAUCCUUCGCAAAGCCGACAUGCUGCAGAAAGAGCAGGUGGGUCAUAUCCGGGCGGAGCGGGACAUCUUGGUUCAGGCAGACAGUCUGUGGGUGGUGAAAAUGUUCUACAGUUUUCAAGACAAACUGAACCUUUACUUACUCAUGGAGUUCCUGCCCGGAGGAGACAUGAUGACGCUGCUGAUGAAGAAGGACACACUGACCGAGGAGGAGACGCAGUUUUACGUAGCUGAGACCGUUCUGGCCAUCGACUUUAUCCACCAGCUGGGCUUCAUUCACCGAGACAUCAAACCAGACAACCUGCUGCUGGACUCCAAGGGUCACGUCAAGCUGUCUGAUUUCGGCUUGUGUACGGGACUCAAAAAGGCGCAUCGGACCGAGUUUUAUCGCAACCUGAACCACAGCCAAUCAAACGACCUCACGUUUCAGCACAUGAACUCCAAGAGGAAGGCCGAGACGUGGAAGAGAAACCGGAGGCAGCUGGCCUUCUCCACGGUGGGAACGCCGGACUACAUCGCGCCGGAGGUCUUCAUGCAGACUGGAUACAACAAGCUCUGUGAUUGGUGGAGUCUGGGCGUCAUCAUGUUCGAGAUGCUGAUUGGCUACCCUCCGUUCUGCUCAGAAACUCCUCAGGAGACCUAUAAGAAGGUGAUGAGCUGGAAGGAGACGCUGGUGUUUCCUCCGGAGGUGCCGAUCUCGGAGCGAGCGAAAGCUCUGAUCCUGCGCUUCUGCUGCGAGGCCGACCAUCGCAUCGGAGCCGCCGGCGUCGACGAGAUCAAGAGGAACGGCUUCUUCGAGGGCGUCGACUACGAUCACAUCAGAGAGAGACCCGCCGCGAUCCCCAUCGAGAUCAAGAGCAUCGACGACACGUCCAACUUCGACGAGUUCCCCGAGUCCGACAUCCUGCAGCCCACCAGUCCGGCGGUGGCGAGCAACCAUCACCCGGAGUCGGACUACAAGAACAAGGACUGGGUCUUCAUCAACUACACCUACAAGCGCUUCGAGGGCCUGACAGCCAGAGGAGCCAUCCCCGCCUACAUGAAGAGCGGCAAACGGUGAAUCCUGAGCGAUUCUGAAACGCUUAACGUGGAUGCAACGUAUGCACGCGGAAUUCAUACAACUAAAUAUUCUGGGGGCCAUGAAAUAUUAGUGAAAAUCAGCAACAACGCUGGCGGUGGCUGGCAACUUUUUUAAAAAACGCUGGCGGGGAAAGAGUUAAUAAAGCAUAUUUAAUGCACAGACAAGCAGAUAUGAGCCCUAAUACGAACGCAACACAUUUAAUUACGCGUUAAGCGUUUUCCUCUCAUAGAAAACCGUUAUAA